CAUAGGGGCACAAGAACCAUCUUUGGCAUUAUCAUUCAUUCACUUAACAAGAAAUGUAGCUAAAUUGUCGGUUGGUGUAAAUGUUAGGGCUAAUUAAAUAAUUAAGGCCAGAAGCUGGCAUACAAACCAGAAACAGGUGUGACCCACAUCGCCCGACCUCUGUUUUAGAUCAAUCAUCCAGACGCUUUGUCUAGAAACUGUUUAUAGUUCCUCUCCUGUUUGUUUUGUGCGUGCUGUGUAGGGGACAGAGGGUACGAUGCUGUGAGAACAGAGUUGGCGGGUGAUGCCAAAGCAAGAGGGAAUUGUGAUGAGCAUGAUGGUUUGCCCAGGUGGUGCGGCCAAUCCAGGAGCUGGGAGUGAGAUUGAGACUUGGAGACGUCUUGAGUGUGAAUGCUUGUUGGCCAGCAUACUUUGGAUACCUCUGCGAUUUUCCCAAUGGAAACCCUUUGGAUACAGAUACAGAAAUAUUUCCUGUCUCUACAGAGUCACGGUUUCUGCGUUCACAGACUCAUCAACAGAAUCACAACAUUUGCCUGUUUGAGACCAGUUUUUGGCCUCAGACAUUCUUGGAUAGUUUGCACAGUAAUGGCACUUAUUCCAAGAUAAUGGGUAUAUUAUGAAUCAUGUGUGAUGUACUAUUGAUUGGGACAAGUUGAAUUAGAUGUUAAAAGAAAAGUUUUUUGUUUUUUUUUACAAUGCAUGAAAAUUAAAUUGAAGCCAUUAAGUGCAAUGUCAUACUUUCUUGUGGCAAACCAGUCCUUAAACAGAUCAGUUUGCUACCCACAGUAAGAAGCUGUCAUAAAGGUGAUUCAAAAAUUCUUGCAAUGCCAAACCAAACAUUUUCUCUGGUUUAGCUCCAUACCUUUUCAAAAAUAUAUAACAAAGAUACAAUUUUGCUGGCAAAAAAUGCUUUCUUUUAAUUAUGCAUAAAACUCAAGGACAAAUUCAGUAAUAAAGUGAUACGUGAUAAAGUCA